rnacentral:rRNA from 1 species
UUAUAGCGGAGGAAAGAACCAACAGGGAUUGCCCCAGUAACGGCGAGUGAAGCGGCAACAGCUCAAAUUUGAAAUCUGGCCUCGGCCCGAGUUGUAAUUUGUAGAGGAUGCUUCUGGCGACGUUCCUUCCGAGUCCCCUGGAACGGGGCGCCGUAGAGGGUGAGAGCCCCGUACGGUUGGAUACCUAGCCUCUGUGAAGCUCCUUCGACGAGUCGAGUAGUUUGGGAAUGCUGCUCUAAGCGGGAGGUAAAUUCCUUCUAAAGCUAAAUACCGGCCAGAGACCGAUAGCGCACAAGUAGAGUGAUCGAAAGAUGAAAAGCACUUUGGAAAGAGGGUUAAACAGUACGUGAAAUUGCUGAAAGGGAAGCGCUUGCGACCAGACUCGGGCCUGGCGGAUCAUCCGGCGUUCUCGCCGGUGCACUUCGUCUGGCCUGGGCCAGCAUCGGUUCGUCCGGGGGGAUAAAAGCUCGGGAAACGUAGCUUCCUCCGGGAAGUGUUAUAGUCCCCCGCCUAAUGCCCCCGGCCGGACCGAGGACCGCGCUAACGCAAGGAUGCUGGCGUAAUGGUCGUCAGCG